AUACGUAGGGUGCGAGCGUUAAUCGGAAUUACUGGGCGUAAAGCGUGCGCAGGCGGUUGUGUAAGUCUGAUGUGAAAGCCCCGGGCUUAACCCUGGAACGGCCUUGGAGACUGGACGACUUGAGUACGGCAGAGGGGGGUGGAAUUCCACGUGUAGCGGUGAAAUGCGUAGAGAUGGGGAGGAAGACCGGUGGCGAAGGCGGCCUCCUGGGAUGAUACUGGCGCUCAUGCACGAAAGCGUGGGGAGCAAACAGGAUUAGAUACCCUGGUAGUCCACGCCCUAAACGAUGUCAAUUAGCUGUUGGGGGUUUGAAUCCUUGGUAGCGUAGCUAACGCGUGAAAUUGACCGCCUGGGGAGUACGGCCGCAAGGUUAA
rnacentral:rRNA from 1 species